UCCAGACUCCUACGGGAGGCAGCAGUGGGGAAUAUUGCACAAUGGGGGAAACCCUGAUGCAGCAACGCCGCGUGAGUGAUGACGGCCUUCGGGUUGUAAAGCUCUGUCUUCAGGGACGAUAAUGACGGUACCUGAGGAGGAAGCCACGGCUAACUACGUGCCAGCAGCCGCGGUAAUACGUAGGUGGCGAGCGUUGUCCGGAUUUAUCGGGUUUAAAGGGUGCGCAGGCGGCACGGCAAGCCGGCGGUCAAAUCGCGGGGCUCAACCCCGCCCAGCCGUCGGAACUGCCGGGCUAGAGUGGGCGAGAAGUGCGCGGAAUGCGUGGUGUAGCGGUGAAAUGCAUAGAUAUCACGCAGAACUCCGAUUGCGAAGGCAGCGCACCGGCGCCCUACUGACGCUCAGGCACGAAAGCGUGGGUAUCGAACAGGAUUAGAUACCCUAGUA
rnacentral:rRNA from 1 species